CCUUCCUCUUAUCAUCCAAUGCCUGUUCCAUAUGGCAUAUGCCACAAAGGAAGGUCAAAACAAGCUGUAUCAGUGCAUAGGUUCAUGUUCAUGCAUUUGUUAUCAUGAAAUGGGUAUUGAGUGACACAGAUCACUAGAAUGAAAUUAAAAAUAAAAUAAAAAAGAAAACAUAAAUUAGGUACAAGGAUCCAGAGUGCACAAGUAGCCCAUUUCUGAUAAUCUUCGAAACCUCAAGGGUAGAAUGUUGAAGCAUGUGUGUGCUAAAGAGCACGUGGAUUUUAUCAUGAUUAAUAUCAUUUACCUUUGCCACCAGGUGAAAAGUUGUCAAACAUGAGGAAUUACUUAAAAUGACUAACUGUUUUACUUUCUGACUUUAUGUAGGAGUAUGCCAGCAUGUUUCAGCUGAAGUGAAUAAACAUUCUAGUAUUCCAAAUAAGUAGUAGGAUACCACAAAUCACAAAUGCUGGUAUUCUGUGAAAGAUUUCCAUUGAUUAACUAUGUAUCAUUUAGUGAAGUUAAAAUCAUUCUUCUUAGGGCUGAGUUUCAUUCAUAAUUGAUAUGUGUUGCUUCUUGUAGUCAUAAUUGUCAACAACAAUCUAUGUUCUAAACAGGGCAACAUCAGAAGUCAAUAUGCAAACAAAACAACUUAUAUAAGCAUGUAUAGAACUAGGCAUAUUCUUCAAGUAGAAUUUGACGAGAUCCAGAAAAAAUUACCUUGCUUUGGAACAUUCUCAUGG
rnacentral:misc_RNA from 1 species